CGGUGUUUAACUGGCGUGAUGUGGGACGUCCUACCGGUGGGCUUAGCCUCGCGAGGGGCGGCCCAACUAAUAUCCCGUCGCGGUGCUCUUUACUGAGUGUCGAGUCGGGCCGGUACGUUUACUUUGAACAAAUUAGAGUGCUUAAAGCGGGCUAUCCUCGCCUGAAUACUGCGUGCAUGGAAUAAUGGAAUAGGACCUCGGUUCUAUUUUGUUGGUUUUCAGAACCCCGAGGUAAUGAUUAAUAGGGACAGAUGGGGGCAUUCGUAUUGCGACGUUAGAGGUGAAAUUCUUGGAUCGUCGCAAGACGGACAGAAGCGAAAGCAUUUGCCAAAAAUGUUUUCAUUAAUCAAGAACGAAAGUUAGAGGUUCGAAGGCGAUCAGAUACCGCCCUAGUUCUAACCAUAAACGAUGCCAGCUAGUGAUCCGCCGAAGUUCCUCCGAUGACUCGGCGGGCAGCUUCCGGGAAACCAAAGCUUUUGGGUUCCGGGGGAAGUAUGGUUGCAAAGCUGAAACUUAAAGGAAUUGACGGAAGGGCACCACCAGGAGUGGAGCCUGCGGCUUAAUUUGACUCAACACGGGAAACCUCACCAGGCCCAGACACCGGAAGGAUUGACAGAUUGAUAGCUCUUUCUUGAUUCGGUGGGUGGUGGUGCAUGGCCGUUCUUAGUUGGUGGAGCGAUUUGUCUGGUUAAUUCCGAUAACGAACGAGACUCUAGCCUGCUAAAUAGGCGUACCUUAUGGUAUCGCGAAGGCCCCCGGCUUCGGCCGGUGGGUUUUUACUACCAACGUACAAACAAAUCUUUUUAGAGGGACAGGCGG
rnacentral:rRNA from 1 species